rnacentral:miRNA from 1 species
AGUAGAUCUAGUUGGUGUCUU